UACGAAGGGGGCUAGCGUUGUUCGGAAUUACUGGGCGUAAAGCGCGCGCAGGCGGUUUUUCAAGUCAGUGGUGAAAGCCCGGAGCUCAACUCCGGAACUGCCAUUGAAACUGUAAAACUAGAGGACGAGAGAGGUGAGUGGAAUUCCCAGUGUAGAGGUGAAAUUCGUAGAUAUUGGGAAGAACACCGGUGGCGAAGGCGGCUCACUGGCUCGUAUCUGACGCUCAGGCGCGACAGCGUGGGGAUCAAACAGG
rnacentral:rRNA from 1 species